rnacentral:rRNA from 1 species
UACAGAGGGGGCAAGCGUUGUUCGGAAUUACUGGACGUAAAGGGCGCGUAGGUGGCCUUCUAAGUCGAACGUGAAAUCCCUGGGCUCAACCCAGGAACUGCGUCCGAGACUGGGAGGCUUGAAUCCGGGAGAGGGAUGCGGAAUUCCAGGUGUAGCGGUGAAAUGCGUAGAUAUCUGGAGGAACACCGGUGGCGAAGGCGGCAUCCUGGACCGGUAUUGACACUGAGGCGCGAAAGCCAGGGGAGCAAACGGG